CCGGCCUCUGAUCCCAGGAGGAGGGUGGUGAGCUGCCCAGAAACCCAGGCAAAGGCUGUUCCCAGCCAUUGGGUGUGGCCAUCAAGCCAGACUUCGUCACCAGCUCUGGGCAUGGCUGCCCCCAACUCAUGGGCCUCCAGACACCCCGGCUGCAGUCCCUGUGGCCAGAAGGCAGAUGCCUCCCCUCCAAGAACCCAUGAGGCAAGGUGACCAGUCGGCCCAGGUGACCAGGGUGGGGCCCACUGAGCACUGCUCUGCCCAGUAGGACCAGCUUCUUUAUGAUGGACUCCACUUCUAAGACGGGGCCGUCUCUGGUGCAGUUAUUAAACGACUGAGACUACAUGGGACACGAAAACUAAACUGACCUGUUGGUGGGAAAGGUUUGGGAGAGGAUGGGUACACGGAGGCUCUGGGAAGCUCUGGUUCUUAACCCUGGUGGUGGUGGGUUUAAGAGUGUUCGCCUUAUACGUUUUUGUAUGGUUCCUCUUGUCAGUUGUCUUAAAAUAAAACUCAUCUGCCUAAAAAAAA